rnacentral:rRNA from 1 species
UACGUAGGGAGCAAGCGUUGUCCGGAAUUACUGGGCGUAAAGGGCUCGUAGGCGGCCAACUAAGUCAUACGUGAAAUCCCUCAGCUUAACUGGGACUGCGUGUGAUACUGGAUGGCUUGGAUUUGGGAGAGGGAUGCGGAAUUCCAGGUGUAGCGGUGAAAUGCGUAGAUAUCUGGAGGAACACCGGUGGCGAAGGCGGCAUCCUGGACCAAUAUUGACGCUGAGGAGCGAAAGCCAGGGGAGCAAACGGGAU